GUGGGGUUGUGGCUCUGUGGUAGAGCACUUGCCUAGCAUGCAUAAGGCACUGGGAUGGAUCCCCAACACCACA
rnacentral:tRNA from 1 species